rnacentral:tRNA from 1 species
AGCAGGAUGGCCGAGCGGUUGAGGCGUUGGACGUAAGACCCAAUGGGCCCUUGUGGGUUUGAAUCCCGCUCCUGGUG